CUUUUCCUUUUUAGACGGACAAACAAGAUCACAUCCCUAUUCGUCUUUAAAGGUUACCUAAGCGCACAGAAAAAUAAAGUGAAUGUCGCCGCUUAGCCUAAGACAUCACAACUGUACAAUAAUACGACUAUCGUGCCCUUCAAACAUGAGUCAAAAAAAAUUGUAUUUACAUUGUACGAAUGUUUGCGCGCAUGUGAGUGGCCGGCAUUAAAGUACAGUACUUGUUGUUCUGGAAAUGACUGGAAAAGGUGGAAAGGAAAAUUCGAGAUGUCUGCUGGAAGAGAUUUCUUAAAGAAAUAAGCAGUGCCUUUGUACAUAAUUUUCCUAUUACUCUGUACUAUGUCUUUUUUUCUGUAUGUACAUAAAUAAAAAAAAAAAAAAAUGUAUUAAUAAUUUUGAACUAAAAAUUAAUUAUGUUCUGAAUAAAGGAUGAUCCUACUGAUAGACUAAACGAAAAUACUCCAUAAAGUUUCAAAUCUUUCUUUUCUUAAACAAGACUAAAAAAAAUUUAUGUGCUAAGGACAAAGUUUUGUAAUAAAAUUUAAAACCAGGCGUCCUUUUUUUUCGACCUGGGAGCCGAACCUCCUACGAGGUCCCCACGCAUAAGGGGCUCGCGGGGUAUGUGAGACUCAACGAUCUGCAUGGUGUUGUGAGCAGACCGCGGGCCCAAGGAUUUUAGGCCCCAACCACUAAACGACUCCCCUGCACUCUCACACCCAACGAUCGAUCCCUUCCGAGUUCAGAACCCGGAUGAGGUAGGGGGGUUACCGCGGUCAACACUACAACCAGACGGCGCGGCGCGGCUCACCCCAAGGACGCCCAGCCGACGGAGCCUUCGAGGCGAAUCGAAGGCUGUGAAACGUCGGCCGUCUCGGUACGGCAGCCCGUCAGGCCGCCCAGACGGUGCCGCUGGUGUCCCGGAAUACCCCGCUGGACCAGAACCAGCCUGCCAGGUCGGGAAAAAUGGUUAAAACCAGGCGUCCUACCCUGCAGGCCAGGACGACUUUAAAACUUGCUUUGUUAAACAUCCUAUUUAAUUCUUACGAUACAUGCUUUAUAGAAAAAUUACUAAAGUAAAGAAGACGGCAUAUCUUAAGCGUUGUGCAAAACGAACUUUUUUGUAGUGCUAUAGAGAGUACAUCUUUUGAAGUGCGGUGUGGCUCACAAUAGCACCACUUCAUCUUUUCCCAUGGUUGUUGCAAAAGACGACUAAGCGACAAUAUUCCGCAGGUUUACCUGAGUGUUGUACUAGCUUUUUGCGAUCACUAGCCGUAUUUAUUGAUGGUAGAGAAAAUUUUAAGCCCACACGGACGGACACCACAAUUCUGCCUAUUUCUGCUUCGAAGUAAUUUUGCAUUCCGGUUUGCAGGGUGAGACAGCCGUUAAACGAUACAUGUAACAAGAUAGGUGACGGUGCUCACGUGAGAUAUCUAUGGGCUACGUUUAACAUUUUAGAUCGGGUAGGCCGUGAAAUCGUUUAUUGAGCAAUGCAAGAAAUACAUUUUUCUUUCCCUUUGUCUUUUUUUUCAGACACCACAUUCAUUCGAUACCAAAACAAUAACUUAAACAAUUUAUGCAGUUGCUCUUGAAAUUUCCCAACUUCGUGGCACUUUUUUCGCGACGUCUUCAUAUUUGCUACAAUGAUGCAAUGAUGUCAUCACUUUAUAGGCACAGCAUUUAUUGACUCGGAGCGGGGAAAGAACCGUAUCAAUGACUCACAGUAAUUCCCCGCGCAAUCUAGGUGCCUGAACCUGGCUUGCGGCAUUUUCAAGAUAAGCUUACAUUUAUACAGGUUCCCCAGAAGAACGUUCGGACCAUAGAUAAUACACUUAAUAUUUUAGGUUCAGACAGUCGGUCUACCGAGCAAUUUCAACCGCUCGAUGGAAGAUCUUCCCUCCGUCGUUAAGCCUCCCAAACUGGUGAUCCAUUAAAGCGGCGAAUAAAGCUUUUUUUAAGGCUGCGUAUAUAUAGUACAUCCAUUACACAAAAGUAAAGUUAAUGAUAAUAAUAAGAAAUUAUUCUGCACGUACUUAAGUUGGUGCUGUGGCGUGGCCAUUUUUUAGCAAAUUCUUUAAUCAAUUACCUACGGACUUCCGUUUUGUUGCGUUCUUUAAUGUUAACAAGUGACGUGAGGACGUAUUGACUCCCCACCUCAAAAUAAUUCAUACACUCAAACGCAAAAGUGUUGUUCUAUGAACUAUUUGCAUAAUAACUUAUGGCUUAUUUCUCUCGCGAAACGGUCAUUAGUUCCGAUUUGAUGAGUGGAACAGUCUUUAUAAUCUACACUUGAGAUUAGUGAUGUCUAUGACCUAAUGCAUCCAAUAGUGCAAUAAAAUGUUAUGACUAAAAAGGUAGGCAGUGGAAUUCACGGGUUGAUGUCCAUGGGAUCUGCUGAUACAGCUUAAUAUCUACCUUAAUAUGGAGCGGCCCAGCGGUUAGUGAAUUUAUAGCAAUAAAAAAUAAAAGAGAUUUAUUAAAAUAAAAAUAUAUGUAUUACAAUAUAUUUUUUCACAUUACAUCACUUAUCACUACGAUAACAAAAGUAGAUUCAAUAUUUCAAGCUAACUGAAGCUGAUCAUUUUCUCGUUAUUGUUAACAACAAUGACGCAAUCCAAUUUAAUUGUAUAGAAGAGAUAAAUAUAUUGUUGUUAUAUUACAAAAAAUUCAUUUGAUUAGCGUCUUUGCAGUAUAAACAUGAUUUUAUUUGUAAACUUAAUUCAGUUAUCACCUUUGUUAUCAGUUAAUAAUAUAAUAACUAAAUCCUUAAAAAUAUAAUAUUCGAUUUAAAAAAUGGAAUGAUGAAUUCAUGGCAAAACAAUCGCUUUUCUUCAUUUGUUAAUCAAAUCCAAUUAAUACAUUACUAUGACAAUAGAGCUAUGGAUGUUUUAAAAAUCUUAUGUUAAAAACAAUAGACUAUUUUUAUUAGGUAAGUCAUUUCAUAGAUAAUGUAUUUAGGCGUUUGUUUUUUUCUCCGUGACAUUUUGUCAUCUUUCAUCAAUCACAAAUGCUAAUAUAAAUUGGCGCCAUAAAUAAUUUUUGCAUCAAUGGUGGAAAAGACGCAAGUUAGUAUGCGCGAGCGCUAUUUUGUGUUCGUUGCACGCUUCGAUGACUUCUUGAUCGUUGUUCGAACCAGACGGACUGCCGAUGUAUUCCACGCCGCACUAUAAAAACAAAAACAAAAAUACGAACGAUAAGUUAUUUUGAAAGUGAUAACACGUCAGAACCAUAUGACAGUCUUUAUGUAAA